rnacentral:rRNA from 1 species
UUGGACAAUGGGCUCAAGCUUGAUCCAACCAUGCCGCGUGAGUGAUGAAGUCCCUAGGGUUGUAAAGCUCUUUCACCGGUGAAGAUAAUGCCGGUACCCUGAGAAGAAUGCCCCGGCUAAUUUUGUUCCAGCAGCCGCGGAAAUUCGAAGGGGGCUAGCGUUGUUCGGAUUUAGUGGGCGUAAAGCGCACUUAGGCGGAUCGAUCAGUCAGGGGUGAAAUCCCAGAGCUCAACUCGGGAACUGCAUUUGAUACUGUCGGUCUGGAGUAUGGAAGAGGUGAGUGGAAUUCCGAGUGUAGCGGUGAAAUUCGUCGAU